rnacentral:rRNA from 1 species
CCUACGGGAGACAGCAGUAGGGAAUAUUGCUCAAUGGGGGAAACCCUGAAGCAGCAACGCCGCGUGGAGGAUGAAGGUUUUCGGAUUGUAAACUCCUUUUGUUAGAGAAGAUAAUGACGGUAUCUAACGAAUAAGCACCGGCUAACUCCGUGCCAGCAACCGCGGUAAUACGGAGGGUGCAAGCGUUACUCGGAAUCACUGGGCGUAAAGAGCGCGUAGGCGGGAUAGCAAGUCAGAUGUGAAAUCCUAUGGCUUAACCAUAGAACUGCAUUUGAAACUGUUAUUCUAGAGUGUGGGAGAGGUAGGUGGAAUUCUUGGUGUAGGAGUAAAAUCCGUAGAGAUCAAGAGGAAUACUCAUUGCGAAGGCGACCUGCUAGAACAUAACUGACGCUGAUGCGCGAAAGCGUGGGGAGCAAACAGGAUUAGAUACCCCAGUAGUC